rnacentral:hammerhead_ribozyme from 1 species
AUCCAGCUGACGAGUCCCAAAUAGGACGAAACGCACGUCAAACUGCAU